CCAAAGCGCAGCUCAGCAGCUCUCAGACCCUGUACGGGGUACCCGGGACACCCGAUCUCUGGGUUCAGGUUUGCCCAUCUCUGGGCGGCAGGGCAAGGUCUCUUUACUAUAGCCAUGGACAACUCCAGCAUACAGGAACUCCAGCAACCCUUACUGCCAAGCGUAACCUGGGACCUCCUUGCUUCCAAGUCUGAGAAACCAGAGCUGGGAACCCUCUUCCCAGAAACUGCCUUUGCAGAUUCCCCGAGAGGCUGGCAGCUUCUUCUCCCACCUCUUCCUUCAGUGAGCGCUGGCCUGGGGGAGCCUGAGACCCCUGACCUUGAGGUAGGAGCAUCAGGUUGACAGCAGAGCUACCUGCCUAGGUCUGGAGUCUCUCUUGACUGUUGAGGGCUGGCUGGGAGUCUCACGAGUCUCUGUGGAGCCACGACAGACCUGGAGCUCUCUCUGUAGACCAGGCCAGUCUUGAACUCAGAGAGAUCCACCUGGUCCUGUCUCCCAAAUGCAGUCUUUUGCUUUUCUUUUUCUUCAGACUUUGACCACUUUCUUUAAUCUUUGUUUGCUGUCUCCCUUCCAAUCUAACUACUUCUCGUUCCAGAACCCGUAAACAUCUGGCUUCUGUUGACCCAGUCUUUGAAGUUAAAGUCUUUAAUUUAAAAAAAAAAA
rnacentral:lncRNA from 1 species